CCCUGUAUCGAAAGUGAUCAUGGCGUCCCUGUCGCCAGGUCAUUGAUAGUACAGGGAGAUAAAGCUGCGAGCCUUUCCCGUGUUUGAAGGAUGAUCAGUUCCUGUCAGACCCUGGCGCUCUCAGACA
ensembl:snoRNA SNORA71 Small nucleolar RNA SNORA71